rnacentral:rRNA from 1 species
UACGUAGGUGGCAAGCAUUGUCCGGAAUUAUGGGGCGUAAAGCGCGCGCAGGCGGUCCUUUAAGUCUGAUGUGAAAGCCCACGGCUCAACCGUGGAGGGUCAUUGGAAACUGGGGGACUUGAGUGCAGAAGAGGAGAGUGGAAUUCCACGUGUAGCGGUGAAAUGCGUAGAGAUGUGGAGGAACACCAGUGGCGAAGGCGACUCUCUGGUCUGUAACUGACGCUGAGGCGCGAAAGCGUGGGGAGCAAACAGG